rnacentral:rRNA from 1 species
UACGUAGGGGGCAAGCGUUGUUCGGAAUUACUGGGCGUAAAGGGCGCGUAGGCGGCACAGCAAGUCGGGAGUGAAAGCCCGGGGCUCAACCCCGGAACUGCCUUUAAGACUGCAUCGCUUGAAUCCAGGAGAGGUGAGUGGAAUUCCGAGUGUAGAGGUGAAAUUCGUAGAUAUUCGGAAGAACACCAGUGGCGAAGGCGGCUCACUGGACUGGUAUUGACGCUGAUGGUGCGAAAGCGUGGGGAGCAAACAGG